rnacentral:rRNA from 1 species
GAUGAACGCUGGCGGCGUGCCUAAUACAUGCAAGUCGAGCGAACGGACGAGAAGCUUGCUUCUCUGAUGUUAGCGGCGGACGGGUGAGUAACACGUGGAUAACCUACCUAUAAGACUGGGAUAACUUCGGGAAACCGUAGCUAAUACCGGAUAAUAUUUUGAACCGCAUGGUUCAAAAGUGAAAGACGGUCUUGCUGUCACUUAUAGAUGGAUCCGCGCUGCAUUAGCUAGUUGGUAAGGUAACGGCUUACCAAGGCAACGAUGCAUAGCCGACCUGAGAGGGUGAUCGGCCACACUGGAACUGGAACACGGUCCAUGCUCCUACGGGAGGCAGCAGAAGGGAAUCUUCCGCAGUGGGCGAGAGCCUGACGGAGCAACGCGGCGUGAGUGAUGAAGGUCUUCGGAUCGUAAAACUCUGUUAUUAGGGAAGAACAUAUGUGUAAGUAACUGUGCACAUCUUGACGGUACCUAAUCAGAAAGCCACGGCUAACUACGUG